UGGAUGAUGUGGAUUAAUUCGAUGCAACGCGAAGAACCUUACUACCCUUGACAUGUCCGGAACUUGCCAGAGAUGGCUUGGGUGCCCGAAAGGGAAUCGGAACACAGGUGCUGCAUGGCUGUCGUCAGCUCGUGUCGUGAGAUGUUGGGUUAAGUCCCGCAACGAGCGCAACCCUUAUCAUUAGUUGCUACGCAAGGGCACUCUAAUGAGACUGCCGGUGACAAACCGGAGGAAGGUGGGGAUGACGUCAAGUCCUCAUGGCCCUUAUGGGUAGGGCUUCACACGUCAUACAAUGGUCGGUACAGAGGGUUGCCAAGCCGCGAGGCGGAGCCAAUCCCACAAAGCCGAUCGUAGUCCGGAUUGUUCUCUGCAACUCGAGAGCAUGAAGUCGGAAUCGCUAGUAAUCGCAGGUCAGCAUACUCGCGGUCGAAUACGUUCCGGGCCUU
rnacentral:rRNA from 1 species